AUGCAAGUCGAGCGGACAGAUGGGAGCUUGCUCCCUGAUGUUAGCGGCGGACGGGUGAGUAACACGUGGGUAACCUGCCUGUAAGACUGGGAUAACUCCGGGAAACCGGGGCUAAUACCGGAUGCUUGUUUGAACCGCAUGGUUCAAACAUAAAAGGUGGCUUCGGCUACCACUUACAGAUGGACCCGCGGCGCAUUAGCUAGUUGGUGAGGUAAUGGCUCACCAAGGCGACGAUGCGUAGCCGACCUGAGAGGGUGAUCGGCCACACUGGGACUGAGACACGGCCCAGACUCCUACGGGAGGCAGCAGUAGGGAAUCUUCCGCAAUGGACGAAAGUCUGACGGAGCAACGCCGCGUGAGUGAUGAAGGUUUUCGGAUCGUAAAGCUCUGUUGUUAGGGAAGAACAAGUACCGUUCGAAUAGGGCGGUACCUUGACGGUACCUAACCAGAAAGCCACGGCUAACUACGUGCCAGCAGCCGCGGUAAUACGUAGGUGGCAAGCGUUGUCCGGAAUUAUUGGGCGUAAAGGGCUCGCAGGCGGUUUCUUAAGUCUGAUGUGAAAGCCCCCGGCUCAACCGGGGAGGGUCAUUGGAAACUGGGGAACUUGAGUGCAGAAGAGGAGAGUGGAAUUCCACGUGUAGCGGUGAAAU
rnacentral:rRNA from 1 species